rnacentral:sRNA from 1 species
UUUAUUUUUUUAUUCUUUUUAAAAAAUAGAAAAUCUUAAAAAGUAAACAAAUAUACAUAUACUAAUUUAUAUAUCUAUAUAUUUAUAAACAAUUAACAUUUAUUCAACAAAAGGAAAAUUAACAAAUUUGUCUUUAACUAAUGUAAUCAUAAGUGAAAAUAGAACAUUUUGAGAAAAAUAACUUAGCUUAUAGGAUUUAACUUUUCAAUUAUUUUUAACGAGAAUAUUUUUAUUUAUUAAUUUUAACUCAUUUAAUAUUAAUUUGCAUGAUGUAAAAUUAACUUACGAGAUUACGGCAUAUAUAAAAAACAAUAUU